rnacentral:rRNA from 1 species
UACGAAGGGGGCUAGCGUUGCUCGGAAUCACUGGGCGUAAAGCGCACGUAGGCGGCUUACUAAGUCAGGGGUGAAAUCCUGGAGCUCAACUCCAGAACUGCCUUUGAUACUGGUGAACUUGAGUCCGGAAGAGGUGAGUGGAACUGCGAGUGUAGAGGUGAAAUUCGUAGAUAUUCGCAAGAACACCAGUGGCGAAGGCGGCUCACUGGCCCGAUACUGACGCUGAUGCACGAAAGCGUGGGGAGCAAACAGG